AUUGAACGCUGGCGGCAUGCUUUACACAUGCCAGUCGAACGGUAACAGGCCUUCGGGUGCUGACGAGUGGCGCACGGGUGCGUAAUGCAUCGGAACGUACCCAGAGGUGGGGGAUAACGCAGCGAAAGCUGUGCUAAUACCGCAUGUGAUCUGAGGAUGAAAGCGGGGGACCGAGCAGCAAUGUUUGGCCUCGCGCCUUUGGAGCGGCCGAUGUCGGAUUAGCUAGUUGGUGGGGUAAAGGCCUACCAAGGCGACGAUCCGUAGCUGGUCUGAGAGGACGACCAGCCACACUGGGACUGAGACACGGCCCAGACUCCUACGGGAGGCAGCAGUGGGGAAUUUUGGACAAUGGGCGCAAGCCUGAUCCAGCAAUGCCGCGUGCGGGAAGAAGGCCUUCGGGUUGUAAACCGCUUUUGGCAGGAACGAAACGGUGUCCGCUAAUACCGGGCGCUAAUGACGGUACCUGCAGAAUAAGCACCGGCUAACUACGUG
rnacentral:rRNA from 1 species